rnacentral:rRNA from 1 species
CGGGACGGGUGAGUAACGCGUGGGUAACCUGCCUCAUACAGGGGGAUAACAGUUAGAAAUGACUGCUAAUACCGCAUAAGCGCACGGGACUGCAUGGUCCAGUGUGAAAAACCGAGGUGGUAUGAGAUGGACCCGCGUCUGAUUAGCUGGUUGGCGGGGUAACGGCCCACCAAAGCGACGAUCAGUAGCCGGCCUGAGAGGGUGAACGGCCACAUUGGGACUGAGACACGGCCCAAACUCCUACGGAAGGCAGCAG